rnacentral:rRNA from 1 species
UACGUAGGGUGCAAGCGUUGUCCGGAAUUAUUGGGCGUAAAGAGCUCGUAGGCGGUUUGUUGCGUCGGCUGUGAAAUCCCGAGGCUCAACCUCGGGUCUGCAGUCGAUACGAGCAAACUAGAGUGUUGCAGGGGAGACUGGAAUUCCUGGUGUAGCGGUGAAAUGCGCAGAUAUCAGGAGGAACACCGGUGGCGAAGGCGGGUCUCUGGGCAACAACUGACGCUGAGGAGCGAAAGCGUGGUGAGCGAACAGG